CCUACGGGCGGCAGCAGUGAGGAAUAUUGGUCAAUGGACGAGAGUCUGAACCAGCCAAGUAGCGUGAAGGAUGACUGCCCUAUGGGUUGUAAACUUCUUUUAUAUGGGAAUAAAAUGUUCCACGUGUGGGAUUUUGUAUGUACCAUAUGAAUAAGGAUCGGCUAACUCCGUGCCAGCAGCCGCGGUAAUACGGAGGAUCCGAGCGUUAUCCGGAUUUAUUGGGUUUAAAGGGAGCGUAGGUGGAUUGUUAAGUCAGUUGUGAAAGUUUGCGGCUCAACCGUAAAAUUGCAGUUGAAACUGGCAGUCUUGAGUACAGUAGAGGUGGGCGGAAUUCGUGGUGUAGCGGUGAAAUGCUUAGAUAUCACGAAGAACUCCGAUUGCGAAGGCAGCUCACUGGACUGCAACUGACACUGAGGCUCGAAAGCGUGGGUAUCGAACAGGAUUAGACACCCUUGUAGUC
rnacentral:rRNA from 1 species